rnacentral:rRNA from 1 species
UUAAAAAAGCUCUUUGAAAAGUAGAUAAACGAA